rnacentral:tRNA from 1 species
GCGGCCGUAGCUCAGCCAGGUAGAGCACCCGGUUGUGGUCCGGGAUGUCGCGGGUUCAAGUCCCGUCGGUCGCCCCA